rnacentral:rRNA from 1 species
GAUUUCUGGCUUGGUGCGCCUGGCCCGCCACGGUUACGUGUGUGAGUGCUGGGUCGCGCCUGCCAUCCUUCUAGAGAACGGUUCUACCCUUCAUUGGGCCGGGGCCGCAAUCUAGAUCUUUUACUUUGAAAAAAUUAGAGUGUUUAAAGCAGGCUUUUGCUAUGAAUACAUUAGCAUGGAAUAAUAAUUUAGGACUUCGGUUCUAUUUUGUUGGUUUCUAGGACUGAAGUAAUGAUUGAUAGGGAUAGUUGGGGGUGCUAGUAUUCAGCGGCCAGAGGUGAAAUUCUCGGAUUCGCUGAAGACUAACUUAUGCGAAAGCAUU